rnacentral:lncRNA from 1 species
AUGAGGAUCAAAACAUGCACAUCCCUUUCUUGCAUGGUAGAGAUAUGGAUUGGGGAGCUAGCCAAGCUCAAAGAAAGAGUUGUGACCAACAAGACUAAAUCUAAAGAAGGUUUAGAAGAAGAGAAAGAAGUGAAAAGGGAAACUCAAAGGGAUACUACCACAAUAUCUGAGUCAACAAUAUGUUUGCUUAUGGAUAGAUUUGCACCAUGCUAA